rnacentral:rRNA from 1 species
UACAGAGGGUGCAAGCGUUGUUCGGAAUUACUGGGCGUAAAGCGCGUGUAGGCGGCUUGGCAAGUCCUGUGUGAAAGCCCUGGGCUCAACCCAGGAAGUGCGCAGGAUACUGCUGAGCUGGAGUGGCGGAGAGGAUGGCGGAAUUCCCGGUGUAGAGGUGAAAUUCGUAGAUAUCGAGAGGAACACCAGUGGCGAAGGCGAGUCCCUGGACAACACCUGACACUGAGGCACGAAAGCUAGGGGAGCAAACAGG